rnacentral:rRNA from 1 species
GACGGGGACCCGCACAAGCAGCGGAGCAUGUGGUUUAAUUCGAAGCAACGCGAAAAACCUUACCAGGGCUUGACAUCCCUCUGACAGAUCCUUAACCGGAUCCUUCUUCGGACAGAGGUGACAGGUGGUGCAUGGUUGUCGUCAGCUCGUGUCGUGAGAUGUUGGGUUAAGUCCCGCAACGAGCGCAACCCUUGUCGUCAGUUACUAACAUUAAGUUGAGGACUCUGACGAGACUGCCGAGGUUAACUCGGAGGAAGGUGGGGAUGACGUCAAAUCAUCAUGCCCCUUAUGUUCUGAGCUACACACGUGCUACAAUGGUCGGUACAAUGAGAAGCAAGAUGGCGACAUGGAGCAAAUCACCAAAACCGAUCUCAGUUCGGAUUGCAGGCUGCAACUCGCCUGCAUGAAGUCGGAGUUGCUAGUAAUCGCGGAUCAGCAUGCCGCGGUGAAUGCGUUCCCGGGUCUUGUACACACCGCCCGUCACACCUUGGAAGUUGGGGGCGCCCAAAGUUGGUCAGUUAAUAGAUUACCUAAGGCGAAACCAAUGACUGGGGUGAAGACGUAACAAGGAGGCGUCGAAAA